rnacentral:rRNA from 1 species
UCUGGUUGAUCCUGCCGGACCCGACUGCUAUCGGAGUGGGACUAAGCCAUGCAAGUCGGACGCCUGCCAACCAUGCGGCAGGCGUGGCGGACGGCUCAGUAACACGUGGUCAACCUACCCUGGAGACACGAAUAACCCCGGGAAACUGGGACUAAUUCGUGAUAGGCCAAGGCUCCUGGAAUGGGCCUUGACCCAAAGGGGUGGAUGAGCAUGUUUCAUCCGUCUGCUCCAGGAUGGGACCGCGUCCGAUCAGGUUGUUGGUGGGGUAAUGGCCCACCAAGCCUAUAACCGGUACGGGCUUUGAGAGAAGGAGCCCGGAGAUGGACACUGAGAAAAGGGUCCAGGCCCUACGGGGCGCAGCAGGCGCGAAACCUUCACAAUUCGCGAAAGCGUGAUGAGGCUACUCCGAGUGCUACCCGCUGAGGGUGGCUUUUCUCAGGUCUAAAAAGCCUGAGGAAUAAAGGGAGGGCAAGUCUGGUGUCAGCCGCCGCGGUAAUACCAGCUCCCUGAGUGGUCGGGGCGUUUAUUGGGCCUAAAGCGUCCGUAGCCGGCCUUGUAGGUCUCCUGUUAAAUUCAGCGGCUCAACCGAUGAACUGCAGGAGAUACCGCAGGGCUAGGAGGCGGGAGAGGCGGACGGUACUCCAUGGGUAGGGGUAAAAUCCUUUGAUCCAUGGAAGACCACCAGUGGCGAAGGCGGUCCGCCAGAACGCGCUCGACGGUGAGGGACGAAAGCUGGGGGAGCGAACCGGAUUAGAUACCCGGGUAGUCCCAGCUGUAAACGAUGCGAGCUAGGUGACAGAGUGGCUAAGGGCUACUCUGGUGCCGCAGGGAAGCCGUUAAGCUCGCCGCCUGGGGAGUACGGUCGCAAGACUGAAACUUAAAGGAAUUGGCGGGGGAGCACCACAAGGGGUGAAGCCUGCGGUUCAAUUGGAGUCAACGCCGGGAAUCUUACCGGGAGUGACAGCAGGGUGAAGGUCAGGCUGAAGACCUUACCAGACGAGCUGAGAGGAGGUGCAUGGCCGUCGCCAGCUCGUGCCGUGAGGCGUCCUGUUAAGUCAGGCAACGAGCGAGACCCCUGCCGUCAAUUGCUAGCACUAUCCGAAAGGAUGGUGAGGCUAGUUGGCGGGACUGCCGUCGCUAAGACGGAGGAAGGAAGGGGCCACGGCAGGUCAGUAUGCCCCGAAACUCCCGGGCCACACGCGGGCUGCAAUGGUAGGGACAGCGGGUUCCGACCUCGAAAGAGGGAGGCAAUCCUCAAACCCUACCUCAGUUGUGACUGAGGGCUGUAACCCGCCCUCACGAAUCUGGAAUCCCUAGUAACCGCGUGUCAACACCGCGCGGUGAAUGCGUCCCUGCUCCUUGUACACACCGCCCGUC